rnacentral:rRNA from 1 species
ACUAAGUGAGCUACUUUAGGAUAGCCCCAGAGCUAACCCGUCUCUGUUGCAAAAGAGUGGGAAAAUCUUAAAGUAGAGGUGAUAGACCUAUCGAACUUAGAGAUAGCUGGUUUUUUAAGAAAAGAAUUUUAGUUCUACUUUAAAUUUUGUAUUAAACAAAAAUAUACCUAAAUUUAAAAGCUACUCAAAUAAGGCACAGCUUAUUUGAAACAGGACACAACCUAGAACUCAGGGUAAGAUAAAUUAAAUUUUAACAAGUGGGCCUAAAAGCAGCCAUCUUUCAAAAAGCGUCACAGCUUAGUAAUCACAAUCUAAUUAAUACCAAUAUUUACCUCCAACCCUCACACACUAUUAAAAAACUCCAUAAUAUUAUGGAAGCUACUAUGCUAGAACAAGUAACAAGAAAAAGACUUUCUCCAAAAUGUAAGCUUAAGCCAUAAUAGACACACUACUGGCAAUUAGCGUCUAU